rnacentral:rRNA from 1 species
AUGGCGCCGCCCGGGUCGCGCCGAUGGGCGUACGUGCGGAUCAUGGCCGGCACCAUCCUCGGCGGCGGCCUCGGCUUCUACGUCAUGCACCGCAUCGAGACCUCCUACAAGGUGAGGAUGGAGGAGAGGCUGCGGAGGUACGAGGCGCACACGCUCGCCAAGGAGAAGGAGGCGCAGCAGCUCCAGGACGAGGGGCGCCGCGAGGACCAGGCGCAGGUCUUGCCGGACUCGUGA